UGGGGAAUAUUGGACAAUGGGCGAAAGCCUGAUCCAACCAUGCCGCGUGUGUGAAGAAGGUCUUCGGAUUGUAAAGCACUUUAAGUUGGGAGGAAGGGCAUUAACCUAAUACGUUAGUGUUUUGACGUUACCGACAGAAUAAGCACCGGCUAACUCUGUGCCAGCAGCCGCGGUAAUACAGAGGGUGCAAGCGUUAAUCGGAAUUACUGGGCGUAAAGCGCGCGUAGGUGGUUUGUUAAGUUGGAUGUGAAAUCCCCGGGCUCAACCUGGGAACUGCAUUCAAAACUGACUGACUAGAGUAUGGUAGAGGGUGGUGGAAUUUCCUGUGUAGCGGUGAAAUGCGUAGAUAUAGGAAGGAACACCAGUGGCGAAGGCGACCACCUGGACUAAUACUGACACUGAGGUGCGAAAGCGUGGGGAACAAACA
rnacentral:rRNA from 1 species